CGCUGGGUCCUGUGCGGCAGAACACUGUGAACCCCGCCAGGGCCGGAAGGCAGCAACGGUAAGCCGACUUCGUUGGGCGCCAUGGGGUCGCCGGGCUUGA
rnacentral:SRP_RNA from 1 species